GCAGUGGUAGUUCAGUGGUAGAAUUCUUGCCUUCUAAGCGGGAAACCCAAGUUCGAUUCCUGGCCAAUGCA